rnacentral:rRNA from 1 species
AUGAACGCUAGCGGGAGGCCUAACACAUGCAAGCCGAGCGGUAGAGUAUCUUCGGAUACUUGAGAGCGGCGUACGGGUGCGGAACACGUGUGCAACCUGCCUUUAUCUGAGGGAUAGCCUUUCGAAAGGGAGAUUAAUACCUCAUAAUAUACUGAUUGGCAUCAAUUGGUAUUGAAAGCUCCGGCGGAUAGAGAUGGGCACGCGCAAGAUUAGAUAGUUGGUGAGGUAACGGCUCACCAAGUCAAUGAUCUUUAGGGGGCCUGAGAGGGUGAUCCCCCACACUGGUACUGAGACACGGACCAGACUCCUACGGGAGGCAGCAGUGAGGAAUAUUGGACAAUGGGUGCAAGCCUGAUCCAGCCAUCCCGCGUGAAGGACGACGGCCCUAUGGGUUGUAAACUUCUUUUGUACAGGGAUAAACCUACCCUCGUGAGGGUAGCUGAAGGUACUGUACGAAUAAGCACCGGCUAACUCCGUGCCAGCCGCCGCGGUAAU